UACGUAGGGACCAAGCGUUGUCCGGAAUCAUUGGGCGUAAAGAGCGUGUAGGCGGCUUGGUAAGUCUUGCGUGAAAUCUCGGGGCUCAACCCCGAGCGGUCGUGAGAAACUGGCAGGCUAGAGUGCGGGAGAGGAGAGUGGAAUUCCUGGUGUAGCGGUGAAAUGCGCAGAUAUCGGGAAGAACACCAGUGGCGAAGGCGGCUAUCUGGACGGUUUCUGACGCUAAGACGCGAAAGCGUGGGGAGCGAACAGG
rnacentral:rRNA from 1 species